AAGACUUUAAGAGAACAAGUAAAUCAAAUUGCAAUCGCAGAAUCUCACAUUUCAUCAAAUCAUCACAGAAUAGGACCAAAAAUGGUCGAUAACGCUUGAUUGAAACUGUAGGCUAUUUAAAUUUAAGGAAGAUGGUUGAUGGUACUGGGAAAAGGAAGGAGGAAGAUGGUUAUGACUAUUUAGUUUUGGGAAAUCAAGGAACGAGGAGGAUAAGAUGGUUUACGGUACUGGCUCGGAAAAAGGAAGGAGAAGAAAUAGGUUGCAGAAACAAGAAGGGAGAAGAGAAAAAGGGCUUUUACCUUAUAAGGACCUAGGGCUUUAGGAAGUAUUUAUAAAAUGGGCUUAAAGUUUAUAUGAAGCUGGUCCUAUUUACUUUAAAACAUGGGCUGGACAGAAGUGAACAAUAUUGCCAAUGGUACUAAAGUA
rnacentral:misc_RNA from 1 species